rnacentral:rRNA from 1 species
UACGGGGGGAGCAAGCGUUGUUCGGAUUUACUGGGCGUAAAGGGCGCGUAGGCGGUCAGCACAGGUCAGUUGUGAAAUCUCCGGGCUUAACUCGGAAAGGUCAACUGAUACUGUGCGACUAGAGUGCGGAAGGGGCAACUGGAAUUCUCGGUGUAGCGGUGAAAUGCGUAGAUAUCGAGGGGAACACCUGCGGCGAAGGCGGGUUGCUGGGCCGACACUGACGCUGAUGCGCGAAAGCCAGGGGAGCGAACGGG